rnacentral:rRNA from 1 species
GACGAACGCUGGCGGCGUGCUUAACACAUGCAAGUCGAACGAUGACGACCGAGCUUGCUCGGUCUGAUUAGUGGCGAACGGGUGAGUAACACGUGAGCAACCUGCCCUUCACUCUGGGAUAACCUCGGGAAAUCGGGGCUAAUACCGGAUAUGAGCUCCUGUCGCAUGGCGGGUGUUGGAAAGUUUUUCGGUGAAGGAUGGGCUCGCGGCCUAUCAGUUUGUUGGUGAGGUAGUGGCUCACCAAGGCGAUGACGGGUAGCCGGCCUGAGAGGGCAACCGGCCACACUGGGACUGAGACACGGCCCUGACUCCUACGGGAGGCAGCAGUGGGGAAUAUUGCACAAUGGGCGAAAGCCUGAUGCAGCGACGCCGCGUGAGGGAUGACGGCCUUCGGGUUGUAAACCUCUUUCAGCAGGGAAGAAGCGAAAGUGACGGUACCUGCAGAAGAAGCGCCGGCUAACUACGUG